UACGUAGGGGGCAAGCGUUGUCCGGAAUCAUUGGGCGUAAAGCGCGCGUAGGCGGCCAACUAAGUCGGAUGUGAAAUCCCCAGGCUUAACUUGGGAACUGCAUCCGAUACUGGAUGGCUUGAAUCCGGGAGAGGGAUGCGGAAUUCCAGGUGUAGCGGUGAAAUGCGUAGAUAUCUGGAGGAACACCGGUGGCGAAGGCGACAUCCUGGACCGGCAUUGACGCUGAUGAGCGAAAGCCAGGGGAGCAAACGGG
rnacentral:rRNA from 1 species